rnacentral:rRNA from 1 species
CGUAUAUUUAAGUUGCUGCAGUUAAAAAGCUCGUAGUUGGAUUUCGGGCGGGGCCUGCCGGUCCGCCGUUUCGGUGUGCACUGGCAGGGCCCGCCUUGUUGCCGGGGACGGGCUCCUGGGCUUCACUGUCCGGGACUCGGAGUCGGCGCUGUUACUUUGAGUAAAUUAGAGUGUUCAAAGCAGGCCUACGCUCUGAAUACAUUAGCAUGGAAUAACACGAUAGGACUCUGGCCUAUCCUGUUGGUCUGUAGGACCGGAGUAAUGAUUAAGAGGGACAGUCGGGGG